AAGAUGCUGAAACAAGAGGAAAUGGGUUUACAUUGAAUGGACAGAGAGAGAGUUCAGGAGGCCUACGAGUAGACUGGCUGGCUUGGCGGGUAAUGUACUUAAAUGAAAUUAAACCCAGCACAAAGAAAGAGAAGGAGGCUGAGGCUGAGGCUGGGAAAGGCCAGGCUGUGGAGGACCAGGGCUGGUCUCAAACUCCUGACAUCAGGUGAUCCACCUACCUCAGCCUCCCAAAGUGCUGAGAUUACAGACUUGAGCCACUGCACCCAGCUCCUGAUCAUGAGGAAGUGUUUGCCCCUCUGGAGGACACAGCAACAAGGACCAUCUUGGAAGCAGAGACCUGGCCCUCACCAGACACCAUACCUGCCGGCACCUUGAUCUUGAACUUCUCAGCCUCCAGAAGUGUUUCCCAAGGCCCUGUCACUGGGCCAGGCACACAGCAGAUGCUCAGUAAACACUCCUGGAAUGAAUGGAGAACAUAUUCCACAAGCAUGCUUUGAGCAUUGUUUAUGCCAGGAAUUGACUUCAAACAGAAUCCGGAGGAGCCCCUUAUGGUCCCGCUGCCACAAACAAGGCCCAGAGAGCGCAACUCUGCCCAGCCCAGCACCAGGUUUUUGGCCUCCCCGCCGGCCCGAGGCACAUCGGCUUCGAUGUGCCAGGCGGUGGGCGAGGAAGUGGAGGUUCCAGCUCGGCAAAGCUUAGGCUGAGGCUGAGGAUGGGCUAGAGUCAAGUCUACGUGUGCAGCCUUACUCAGGGAGACGCCUCUGCGCUGCAACCUCAUGCCCGGGAGGGCAAGGCUGGGCUAGGGCGGGGGAUCGCGAGGGGCUUGGCUGGGAAGAGGACUGCAGGAGAGGUGUCCCAACUCUCCCCUCGCUCGCCAGGCACACAGCACGCGCCUACUCGGUGCUGGCUGCAUAGAAGCCCAGGGAGCUCGGGCCGAUCUCCCAGUCUGGUUGCCACCAGACUGGGUGGCAGGAGCUUCUAGACCUGGAGGCUGGCUCAGUCGUGUGGUCACGACGGGCGGGGGAGUGGAAGGGCGCUGGCGCGUGGUUUCGGCAGCCGACUUGGCGAGGCCGCGGCUGGCGGGAACCACGGAUGGGGGAGGCGCCCAUGCACCGACCCCACCUGGGCCACUGGGAAACCGAGGUAGUCCCUCCUGGCACUGGGGUCGCCCCCACACACCUCCCCAGAAGGAGAUGUAGGGUCUGUUUCUGAACUGAGACCCGCCCCCGAGUAGGGCGCACACUCAGCAGAGACCCUCCACACCCAAGCCCCUGGGAGGGGAUCUUUUUUGCACACCUCCCUCCCACUUAUGCCCCCUCUCAACCCUGCAUAGACCUUUCUCAAAAAGGCGCCCGUUGGUUCCCAUAACCCUCCCCCUCCCCCAGGAUGGAGACCCCUGAUGGGAGAUAGGGGUGGUGAGAGGGGGCGGGCGCAAAUGAAGAUGCGCGCGACCAGGACCACCUCUUGCUGUCACCCGCCACGUCCCCAGCAUCUGGACCGCGUCCCCCGGCCCGCCACGCGCGCACACACACACACACGCGCACACACACACGCUCACACUCACCCUGCGCGCAGACCCCGCCCGCGGCCCCGCCCCGGCCCCUGCGGGCGCCCCCUCUGGCGUUCCCGGGCGGCGGGAGGCUGCGGCUUCGGGCAGAUUUGAUUUUCCCGCAGCCCGGGCGCCCCGGAGCCGAAGCCCGAGCCGAGGAGGUGGCGCUCGCAGCCGCGUCUCAGCCCCGUCGCCGCCGGCGCCAAGACCCAGGGAGAGGCGGCGCAGCCCGGGCGCUCGGGCUCCGCGCUGCCGGCGCCCCGCCACCCCCGCCGCCAGCGCCCCAUCCGGCGCCUCCCGCUCCUCACGCCCCUCUCCCUGUCUUCUGCAU
rnacentral:lncRNA from 1 species